AAAGAGGUGAACCGGCCAGGGCCGAGGAGCCAACCCCGACACCGCAGGGUCCUAGCAGAGGCACCCCCGAUGGCGAGGGGCGCACGGCCAACGCCAUCCCCGAAGAGAAGCCGGGAGGAGCCGGGCUCGGCAGGCAGGAGCCGGCGGCGGCGGUGCGCUGGGCCUUCCGCCUUCGCGCCUCCGCAUUCUGCAGCCGCUUCCCCGCUGGGAUUCGAACCCGGACAGAGCCCCCACUGCUCGGGGCGACAAGUCUCGCGUUCCUCUCGCCUCCCCACAGAGAAGGUGCUCUCUGCCGGCUCUGAUUCUCACUGACCGCUGCCUCUGCUGUUUCCGGCCCUAGUAAUCGAGGCCUCGAGGCGGCGGUGGAGACACGGCUCCCUGAGCCGGCAAGAAAAGGGCAGAGAGCAGGACCGCCCACGGCAGGGAAAAAAUUGCCUCUUCUGCUGAGCGACCGGAAAGGUGAUGGAAUCACGUCCUGGGGGCAGCGCCACCCGCUCUUGCCCCAGGCGCCCGGUGCCAGGGCCGCAGGGCUCUCGGAAGGGAACAGGGCCGCUCUCUUGGCUCCUCUGCCAGCUGUCCAGCUUCGCCACCUGUGGGAGCCGGAGGGGAUGAGGUGCCCUCCCAUCACUCCCUCUGCAUCCUAGACUGAGGUCCCCCAAUGAAGGAACGGUGGUCCAAGUGGCAGGGACACACUUGCACAAGGCCCGGCGCCCCCUGCAGCCCAGGCAGGUCAAGGGACCUCACUGAGGACCAACUGUGUGCCAGGCCUGGGGGCUAGGGUGAAGAUGGCCUGGCCCCAGCCGUGAGCAGCCCCUCACUCGUGGGGCACCCCCCCCCCCAGGAUAUCAGUGGAACUAUG
rnacentral:lncRNA from 1 species